GGUUUCAGUCGGCAGAGUUCCUCUCCUUUGACAGACGUUCGAAUAAAUUCUACUACGCCUAAAGCCGGAGUGGCCUCGCCGAGGUCUUUAAGGCGCGCCCAACUAAGGACGACGCCCAAUACCAAGCAUAGCUUGAGUGGUGUAAUGACGCUCGAACAGGCAUGCCCCUCGGAAUACCAAGGGGCGCAAUGUGCGUUCAAAGAUUCGAUGAUUCACUGAAUUCUGCAAUUCACAUUACUUAUCGCAUUUCGCUGCGUUCUUCAUCGAUGCGAGAACCAAGAGAUCCGUUGUUGAAAGUUUUGAUUUAUUCAAAAUUUUAACUCAGACGACCGGUUAAAUAACAAGAGUUUGGUUUAACUCUGGCGGGCGCUCGCCUGGGACGAAUCCCCAGCGGCUCGAGACCGAGCGGUCCCGCCAAAGCAACAAGGUAGUUUUAACAACAAAGGGUUGGAGGUCGGGCGCUGAGCACCCUUACUCUUUAAUGAUCCUUCCGCAGGUUCACCUACGG
rnacentral:misc_RNA from 1 species